UGCGCGAUCCUCCGCCUCUGCGCGCCGCGCUCCCGAGCUGCGCCGCAGCUCAGCACCGAGGCGGCCUCCGCAGGACCGACCCCGAGGCUUCGGGACCGACCCUGAGGCUUCGGGUGGAUGUUUGUGCCCGCGCUCGCUCCCCGACCGUUGUGGGGGCCGCGGGGCCGCGUCCACGCUGACAGGUCUCACCCCCUCAGGGCCCGCGGCGGGAGGAGAAGAAUAUAUUUGGAGAAAACUAUUGCUCAAUGAAUAUAUAUCUGUCGAGGCUUCAUUAUGUCCUGUGUCAUGCUUCCCUGAGCUGGCCAGAGCACUCAUGUCCCAUAUUUGAAACUCAGCUUCAGACUUUACGUGAAAAAUCACUGUUCCUGGUUCACAACUUCAGCAACACAGAAGGGCGGCUGUUGUUCAUCCUGGAGCUUCCCUGCAGAACCAAGCAUAUGUAUAUAUUUUCUGGCACAAAUGGGCUCAUUCUAGAAGGACGCUUGGAAGGUCUGAGAAGCACUAUCCACUCUGUUGGAACAGAGGCAGGUGUGCUGGCCUUAGGUCAGAGGUGCCUUCUUAUCCCCACCUGACAACAAUUCUUUGAUCUGCCUCCACGAGACCCGAAGUUUUGAACAACAGCAUCUGAGUCAGUCACACAGCCCAUCACAGGACAUCAGUGUUCCAAGAAAGCAACAGUUGAGCCAUGAAGUAAAACCGAAGUAGCUGUCAGCAUGGUGGAUUCGGUGCAACAGUUCCUUAGUGUCCCUGUAGGUAGCACAUCACAGGGAAUACCAUUUGCUCUGCUCAUUUACUACUUACAAAAUGUAAUCUGA